UGCUGUUAGUGAUGAUUUUUGAAAUUAAAAACAGAUGGGAAUCUCUCUGAAAAAAAGUGAAGAUUUUAAAAAACUGAAACAGUA
rnacentral:snoRNA from 1 species